GGCUCAGGAUGAACGCUGGCGGCGUGCUUAACACAUGCAAGUCGAACGAUGAUCCCAGCUUGCUGGGGGAUUAGUGGCGAACGGGUGAGUAACACGUGAGUAACCUGCCCUUGACUCUGGGAUAAGCCUGGGAAACUGGGUCUAAUACCGGAUACGACCAUCUGGCGCAUGUCAUGGUGGUGGAAAGCUUUUGUGGUUUUGGAUGGACUCGCGGCCUAUCAGCUUGUUGGUGGGGUAAUGGCCUACCAAGGCGACGACGGGUAGCCGGCCUGAGAGGGUGACCGGCCACACUGGGACUGAGACACGGCCCAGACUCCUACGGGAGGCAGCAGUGGGGAAUAUUGCACAAUGGGCGCAAGCCUGAUGCAGCGACGCCGCGUGAGGGAUGACGGCCUUCGGGUUGUAAACCUCUUUCAGUAGGGAAGAAGCGAAAGUGACGGUACCUGCAGAAGAAGCGCCGGCUAACUACGUGCCAGCAGCCGCGGUAAUACGUAGGGCGCAAGCGUUAUCCGGAAUUAUUGGGCGUAAAGAGCUCGUAGGCGGUUUGUCGCGUCUGCUGUGAAAGACCGGGGCUCAACUCCGGUUCUGCAGUGGGUACGGGCAGACUAGAGUGCAGUAGGGGAGACUGGAAUUCCUGGUGUAGCGGUGAAAUGCGCAGAUAUCAGGAGGAACACCGAUGGCGAAGGCAGGUCUCUGGGCUGUAACUGACGCUGAGGAGCGAAAGCAUGGGGAGCGAACAGGAUUAGAUACCCUGGUAGUCCAUGCCGUAAACGUUGGGCACUAGGUGUGGGGGACAUUCCACGUUUUCCGCGCCGUAGCUAACGCAUUAAGUGCCCCGCCUGGGGAGUG
rnacentral:rRNA from 1 species